AUGGUCAUUGGUAGAGUGCAUUUGAGGUCAAGUAUGAGCCUCCUGCACUUCAGCUCUAUACAGAUCUGUGCAGGAGCAAAGAGGAGUCAAAUUUCUGGAAGCAAUCUAGCCAUAACAAAUGAAGACUGUGUUGCUUCAAGACUUUUAGGUCACUCUGGCUGCUGUGUAGAGAAUGGACCACACAGGGCAAGAAUGGAAGCAGGAUGCCUUGCUCGAGACUUCACCCAAGCCAGAGAUGAUGGUGGCUCGGUGUGACAACAGUGCGGAUGAAGAAAAGGUAAAUUUGUGCAUUUUUGGAGGUUAAAAUGACAUGCCUUUUUGAUCAAUUGGAUGUGACAGAUGAGGGAAAGAGGAAUAAAGGGAGAUUCCUUGUUUUUUGUCUAAGCA
rnacentral:lncRNA from 13 species